rnacentral:lncRNA from 1 species
CAAAAAGUCAACUUGCACCCUGCUUCCACUUUGUACCGGUACAAACCCAGAUUUGUACCGAUACAGCUCACUGAAAAUCUGCUAUUUCGCAGAUCUUCAAGAUACACGCUGCUCUCAAGUUCCCACAAGGCCCGUUUGGCGUCGACUUCGCGCGAACGCGACCCGGACUUGUCCCGACACUCUCCAGAGCUGUCGACAAGCCUCAGCUAAAAUUCCAGGUCUCUACAUCCUCCCCCACUUACAAAAAGUUUCGUCCUCGAAACUCAGGCAUACCUCAGCUCGGCACGUCAAACAGGUAGGGAUAGGCCUCCCUCAUCACCGUCUCCGGCUCCCAAGUCGCCUCCCGCUCAUCGUGAUUACUCCACUGUACUUUGACAUACGGUAUGACCCGAUUGCGCAAUUCUUUCGUCUCACGAGCAAGAAUCCGCAACGGCCGCUCCUCGUAUCGCAGGUCCUCGUCUAUCUCGAGCGGAGUGAAGUCAAUCACGUGAGAAGGAUCGAAUACAUAUUUCCUCAAUGCCGAGACGUGGAAAACAUCGUGGGUGCCGACUAGUCGCGGGGGUAGAGCAAUCCUGUAAGCAACUGGCCCAACUCGCUCCAAAACCUCAAAAGGGCCAAUGUAGCGUGGACUGAGCUUUCCACGCACUCCAAAUCUGCGAAUCCCUUUGGAUGGCGAGACUUUAAGAAAUACAUGAUCACCAAUCUGAAACUCCAAGUCUCGCCUCCUGGUAGCGGCGUAGCUCCUCUGGCGGCUCUGGGCAGUCAAAAGGUGUCGUCGAACCACUCUCACCUUUUCCUCAGCUUCUAUCAGAAUGUCAGGCCCAAGAGUCUUCCUUCCACCCACAUCACUCCAAAACAAAGGGGAUCGGCAUUUGCGUCCAUACAACGCCUCAAACGGAGCCAUCUGGAUGCUCGCUUGAUAGCUGUUGUUGUAUGCAAACUCGACCAGUCUCAAAUGCCGAUGCCACCCGCCUCCAAAGUCCAGGACGCAUGCCCUCAGCAUGUCCUCUAGAGUCUGAAUGGUCCGCUCUGACUGACCAUCUGUCUGUGGGUGAAAUGCCGUGCUAAAAUGCAACUGAGUACCCAAGGCUGUCUGCAAACUCCUCCAAAAGUGUGAUACAAACCUCGGGUCCCUGUCCGAUACUAUCGACACUGGCACGCCAUGCAGUCUGACGAUCUCAUCCAGGUAUAACUGCGCGAGUCUCUCUCUGGACCAGGUGGUCUGAACUGGUAGGAAGUGAGCAGACUUAGUCAGUCUGUCUACUAUCACCCAAAUAGCGUCGAAGCCACCCUGAGCUCUAGGUAAACCCACGACGAAGUCCAUUGUGAUCUGCUCCCAUUUCCACUCUGGCACUGGCAGACUCUGAAGCUUGCCAGCAGGCACCUGAUGCUCUGCCUUCACCUGUUGGCAAGUCAAACACUGAGCCACGUAUCUGCCAAUGUCUCUUUUCAUUCCAUUCCACCAGAACUGUGCCUUCAAGUCCUUAUACAUUUUGGUUCCACCAGGAUGAACUGUAUAAGGAGAACAAAGAGCCUCUCUCAAAAUGUCUGCUCGGAUCUCAGAAUCCACGGGUACACACAGUCGGUCCCUGUACCUCAGUACUCCCGAACUGUCCACUGCGAAACCCUCUGCCCGUCCCCUCUCUAACUGCUCUCUAAUCCUCAGCAAGUGUCGGUCUCCACUCUGUUUCUCUCGGAUCCUAUCCAACAGAGUGGGCUGCAAAACCAUAGACAUUAGCAUUGCAGUAGACCCAGGGGACACAACCUCGAGUCUCAGCCGCUGUAGCUCCUCAAGUAAAGGCCUUUGCUGAGUGAUCAUCACGUUCAAACUCUGCACUGCCUUCCUGCUCAACGCAUCUGCCACCACAUUCGCUUUGCCGGGAUGAUACUGAAUACUAAUAUCAUAAUCCUUCAGCAACUCCAACCACCGGCGUUGCCUCAGAUUUAGCUCCUUUUGGGUGAACAGAUACUUGAGACUCUUAUGAUCAGUGAAAAUCUCGCAGCGCUCACAAUACAAGUAAUGCCGCCACAGCUUCAACGCAAAAACCACUGCGGCAAGCUCCAAAUCAUGCGUAGGGUAAUUCUUCUCGAAAUCCUUCAAUUGCCGCGAAGCAUAAGAAAUUACCCUACCAUGCUGCAUCAGCAUGCAGCCCAGUCCACUGUGUGAUGCAUCACUGUAGAUCACAUAUCCUUCCCCCAUAACUGGAAGGGCAAGGAUAGGAGCUGAUGCCAACCUCUGUCUCAACUCGUCAAAGCUCCUCUGACAGUCCUCACUCUAGAUAAACUUAAUUCCUUUACGAGUUAAUCGAGUGAGGGGUGUGGAAAGCUUCGCAAAGCCUUCCACAAACCGACGGUAGUAUCCUGCUAAUCCAAGGAAGCUCCGCACCUCAGUCACCGUCGUCGGCCUGGGCCAAUCCCGAAUAGCAUCAAUCUUCUUCGGGUCCACUGCCACUCCAUCUGCAGAAAUCAUGUGGCCCAAGAAAGUAACCUCCCGCAACCAGAACUCGCACUUCUUUAACUUGGCAUACAACUCCUUCUCUCGCAGAAGCUGUAGCAGUAUCCUCAAGUGCUCCUCAUGCUCGGCGUCGCUACGGGAGUAUACCAAAAUGUCGUCGAUGAAGACUACUACAAAUCCAUCCAAGAACGGCUUGAACACUCUAUUCAUCAAAUCCAUGAAAGGGGCAGGGGCAUUCGUCAAUCCAAAAGGCAUCACUGUAAACUCAUAAUGCCCGUACCGAGUCCGAAAAGCCGUCUUGGGAAUAUCCCGGGCCCUCACCCUCAGCUGGUGGUAACCGGACUGGAGAUCGAUCUUCGAAAAGACAUAAGAUCCUUGCAGCUUAUCGAACAGGUCAUCAAUGCGCGGCAAAGGAUACUUGUUCUUGAUGGUCACUUUAUUCAGCUCUCGGUAAUCAACACAUAACCUAAGUGAACCAUCCUUCUUCUUUACAAAUAACACUGGUGCUCCCCAAGGCGAUACACUGGGUCUCACGAACCCUUUAUCCAUCAAAUCCUGAAGCUGCGCCUUUAAUUCUCUCAGCUCUGCCGGUGCCAUCCUGUAAGGUACCUUCGAGAUUGGUGCAGUUCCCGGAACUACAUCAAUCACAAACUCAAUCUCCCUCUCCGGCGGCAUAGUCGACAACUCCGAGGGGAACACAUCCGGAAACUCGCGAACUACGGGGAUGUCCUCGAGUCUCGGUGCCGCCGUAGGUACCUCUGUAACCGUCGCUAGAAAAGCAAUGCACCCUCUACUCAUCAGCUGUCGAGCUCUCGCUGAAGAAAUCCACGUGGCAAACAACGUGCUCCUGCAGCCUCUGAAAGUGAACUCCUCCUGGCCUGGCUCACGGAGUGUCACCGUCCUCUCUCCACAGUCAAUAGUCGCGUAGUACCGCGCCAGCCAAUCCAUGCCAAGCACAAUGUCGAAGUCAUGCAGCUGCCCUAAAACCAACAAGUCUGCGGGCAAGAUCCACGAAUCUAACUGCACUGGACACGAUCUACAACACUCUACCACCUGUAGUACAUGGUCGGGCAUCUGGAUCUCCCGGGUCUAUGGCAACAACCCUAACUCUAGACCAUGUAAUAAUACAAAAGCUCGACUGAUAAAAGAGUGCGAUGAGCCGGUAUCAAAUAAAGUACGUACUCUAAUACCAGAAAGUAAAGUGAUACCUGCCACCACUCGGUCGGCUGCUAAAGAGUCUUCCACCUGGGCGGCGUAUACCCUACCGCUCGGAGCCUGCUGCCGCUGCUCACCCUGUCGCGGUACAGACGCUCGAUCCUCGUGACGAUAACUCGGCGAGGCCCCGUAUGACUGCUGAGGCGCUGGCGGUGCUGAAGCAGAUGAUGGCGCUGACGAUGCUGCUCGCGGACAAGCUGCCCUGAUGUGUCCCGGCUGGCCACAUCCAUAACAUCUGCCCUCUCGCUGCUCGCACUGUCUGGCCCAGUGCGGUCCCCCGCAAAUCACGCACUGCUGUGUCCGCUGUACCUCUGUGGCUGCCCCCGCUGACGGGUAUCCCUGCAACGCUGACGCCCCGAGGAUCCACGACCUUGAAAACGUGAUCGUGGAGGCCUCGGCGGACACCUGCUGCUCGACUGUCCACCGUCCUUUGGAGCGGGGCGCUUCCUGUCCUGGCUCGGUCCCGGCCCCUGAGUCCGCUCUCGAAGUGUCGCCUCGCCUCUCUCCUCAAACAGUGCCUGCUCGAUGGACGCAUCCAGGGUCCUCGACCUCCGCGCCCUAACGAACCUGUAGAGAUCCGGCCUCAAGCCCUGCUCGAAAAGAUACACCCGAUGUACCUCAUCUCUAGCUACAAAAGGCACACAGUUCAGGAGUCGCGUAAACUCCCGAACGUACUCCCGAACUGUGCAAUCCCCCUGCUGUAUCCUCUUCAAGUUUUCUUCAAUCCCCUGCUUUACACUGUCAGGGAAAUACGUGCCGUACAGCAUCCCGCAAAACUCAUCCCAGCUCGUCUGUGAAGCUACAACUCCCUGGUAGCGUCUCAUCCUCUUCCACCAAUCACGGGCGUCCCCAACUAAGCAAUUGACCCCUAAAUGAACCUGGUCCAGAUCCUCUAGGACGUACAUGUCCUCAAAUAUCCUCUCCAUCGCGCUGAUCCAGCUCUCCACUACCCAUGGCUCAGCACAAUCCCCGUCAAACGUUGGUGGGUCUAAGCGGCGGAAACGAAACAGUAACUCCGUCAUCCGCUCUUGCUCCGCCGCGGUCGACUGGACUAGUCCUCGAGCCGGCGCAACUGGUGCUGGAGGUAUCUCUGCUGGUGGGGGUAUGGCGGCGACUGGUGCAGUAGGUGGAGUAGGGGGAGGUGGAGUAGGCUGAGCUGGUGCACCCGAUGCUGUACUCGGCGAUGCGUCUAAUCUCUCGCACAUCCGCUGUAACAACAAUCCCUGCUGCCUCGUCACCUGAGUCAGGGCAGCCAACUGGGCGCUCAAGUCGAGCUGGGCACUGGUCCCCGGUCGAGCGCUCGGCUCCAGUACAGAGGGUACACCUGUCUCAGGUCGGGUACCCUCCUCCUCCUGCUCGGGUAUCUGGGGCGGUGGCGGCGGUAGUGGGGCGCGAUCCCUAAGUGACGGACGUCCUCUGCGUCGACGCAUAGCUGCAUUUAAAGGACAUGGGGGUCAGAAAAACACAAACACUCGACCCAAUCAACGAAAGUCUCGAAGGCGGUCCCUGUUUCUCCUCAAAAUUAUGUCGUCUGCAGCCAACAUAAUUUUCUGGACCGAAACAGACACUCCUUCAGUCACUCACUCCACUCUAGGAUAAGUUAGAACAAUCAAUUAGUGACUUUCGCGUUAAAUCACGCCUCUCGCGUCAAGCUUUCCUAUGGUUUACCAGCUUAGGGUUCCUAGGUCCCAACGACCUAAAGCUAGGCUCUGAUACCAACUUAAUCUGUCACGCCCCGGGUUGCACAGUCCCCCGGGCACGCCGACAAAUCCGCCGUAUACAAGAGAAUUUCUCCGGUAUACGAAGCGUAGCUGAACCUGUAUAAACAUACAAUACUACAAGCAGUAGUAUAGAGCUGAAGUAAACUAUAAACAAGCAGGUAGAAAUAACAAACUUAAUAUACCUACAUCAGCCACGGAUACAAAAGAACACUACUCGCUCCAGCGAGUUCAACUGUAUGUACAAAAGCGCCCGAACAAAAACUGUCACUACCUGCAGCGGGAGUCCUCUAGCACUGUACUCGAAGGGUAGGCUCUAACUCGCCACGCCUUUCCCGCGGUCCGCCUCAGAAGGAGCAGCAGCCGAAACAGAAGGCCCUGCAACAUCGGUGGAAGAAAGAGGGCGUGAGAACUACUAUAAAAGCAAGUAGUCCUCAGUGGGUGCCGCCCUAAACAACAUCGGUCCACCCACUAAGUCUACAGGGUAAGCAAGAUAGAAGAAAAUGAAGCUGGAAACUCUCUACAGCUACAAGUCGCUAUGCUAUCAUGCCCAGAACUAACACCUAUAGACUCAAGUCAACCAGACCCAAUCCGAAGGGGACUGUGAACGCACCCGUCCCUGGGACUGUGAACGCACCCGUCCCGUGCCCGGUUGUGACUGCACAGCUACCCCCACUCUAAACCUCAGUGGAGAGCAAGUCCAACCUGCACUACCCGACACCGACGCGAAAGCACAAAGCCUAACUCCGGAGUGGCACUCGGGGGAGCUACCCAGCCGAGUAUGCAGCGUAGCUCUGUCGAGCUCAAUCAGGCCCUAACCAGCCAAACCCAAGUAACCAAAACCGACUUUGGGGCCCACCGCCUGCCCCGACGGCGCCCGACACCCCGUAACAGUCUACACUCAGCUAGUAUAAGCUCGGCGUCCCAGCACGAGCACAAACACAAGCUACACUAUCCUGGGUAUCCAUCGCACAAAGCCCACGACGAUACAAUGCAACACGGCUCCUAGAGCUAAAUCCGGCAGUGUAUGUAAAUGACGAUCAAUUCGGGGUUUUCUCCUAAGUCAAAUCCAAGUCCAACAAGUAUCAAUUAUCAUCACUCACUAAGCAUGCUCCCAAUUCAGGUUUUUAAUAUACUAAUCCAUGAAUUUGAGCUACCUCAUUUAGUGUUCAACGAACAAAGCAUACAAGUCGACUAAUAUGUACUUAGAGGCAAAAACCGAUGAACCCACCUCUCAAGCAACUCCUGGCAGCGAAGAAAGUGGCCCGGAUCCAAAUUGAUCCCUCGCUGGUCCGUCGAAGUCCCCGGUUCUCCUGCUGCGAAGAAGUAAACCCAAUUACACUCAAAAUCACGAAAUCUGCCCAGAAAACAGCAGCGAAGAAAACAUUAAAUCCGACCAAGCUAACCUUAUCCAAAUUCAGCAAACAAGGGUUCUGAAGCUUCGUCUCGAAGUCACGAAUCCAAUGGCCCAGGUUUCGCUGAAUUCCGACGCUCCUACGCAGAGAACGGGCCAGAAUACGAAACGUCGACGCUGGAACCUGCGAAACAGCAUCUCUGAAAUCUGCUCGGCAAACAGCAGCCUAGUAAAACUAGGGUUCGACAGGGCAAACCUGCUCCAAAAAUCGCGAUCUUGGGCUCAGAAUCUUCGUCUCGAAGUCGCGAAUCUAGCACGCCAAAUUUCGUCGCGUUUCGACACUCCUACACAGAGAACUAGGUAAAACACGGCGGGUCGAUGCUGGAAUCAGCAAUCAGCACUUCAGAGUCUGCUCGGCAAACAGCAACUCAGUAAAAAGGGAUUUCGACAGAGCAAACCUUCUCCAAAUCGGGCGAGUAAGGAUCCUAUGGAUUCGUCUCGAAGUCUCGGUUCCAACGAAUCAAGUCGCGUCACGUUCCGAUGCUCCUGCGCGGAAUACGAGUCAAAACUCUGCGGGUCGACGCUGGAAUCAGCAGCAGCAGCAGUGCAGUUUGAAAAUCGUAGAAGUUUAAAGCCAUAAAAGCGAUCUCAAGGAGCCACUCACCUCGACAAACCCUCCCUGCGAGCAGCACCUCGUCGAAACUCGCUCGAUCCGCUCUGCGGCGCGUCGUCGACGAAGCUCGAGCUUCUCUUGAGCUCCUCCAACACUCUAGGUUGCUAAGGAAAGUAGAAGGAGAGGAAGAAGAAGCACAGCAGCAGCAGCAUGAAGAAGCUUCCCUCUCUCUCUCCUCUCUGCUCCAAGGUAAGGGUUAAAGGGGGGUGAUGUGACAAGAUGGCCAAAAAGUCAACUUGCACCCUGCUUCCACUUUGUACCGGUACAAACCAGAUUUGUACCGGUACAGCUCACUGAAAAUCUGCUAUUUCGCAGAUCUUCAAGAUACACGCUGCUCUCAAGUUACCAAAAGGCCCGUUUGGCGUCGACUUCGCGCGAACGCGACCCGGACUUGUCCCGACACUCUCCAGAGCUGUCGACAAGCCUCAGCUAAAAUUCCAGUUCUCUACAG